CAGGCUGCAACUCGCCUGCAUGAAGCUGGAAUUGCUAGUAAUCGCGGAUCAGCAUGCCGCGGUGAAUACGUUCCCUGGCCUUGUACACACCGCCCGUCACACCAUGAGAGUCGGGAACACCCGAAGUCCGUAGCUUAACCGCAAGGGGGGCGCGGCCGAAGGUGGGUUCGAUAAUUGGGGUGAAGUCGUAACAAGGUAUC
rnacentral:rRNA from 1 species